rnacentral:rRNA from 1 species
GAUGAACGCUAGCGGCAGGCUUAACACAUGCAAGUCGAGGGGUAGAGGAAGCUUGCUUCCUUGAGACCGGCGCACGGGUGCGUAACGCGUAUGCAAUCUACCUUAUACAGGGGGAUAGCCCAGAGAAAUUUGGAUUAAUACCCCAUAGUAUAAUUGAAUGGCAUCAUUUGAUUAUUAAAGUUCCAACGGUAUAAGAUGAGCAUGCGUCCCAUUAGCUAGUUGGUGUGGUAACGGCACACCAAGGCGACGAUGGGUAGGGGUCCUGAGAGGGAGAUCCCCCACACUGGUACUGAGACACGGACCAGACUCCUACGGGAGGCAGCAGUGAGGAAUAUUGGUCAAUGGGCGCAAGCCUGAACCAGCCAUGCCGCGUGCAGGAUGACGGUCCUAUGGAUUGUAAACUGCUUUUGUACAGGAAGAAACACUCCCUCGUGAGGGAGCUUGACGGUACUGUAAGAAUAAGGAUCGGCUAACUCCGUGCCAGCAGCCGCGGUAA